GGGAAUGCAGCUCAAAAUGGGUGGUGAAUUCCAUCUAAAGCUAAAUAUUGGCGAGAGACCGAUAGCGAACAAGUACCGUGAGGGAAAGAUGCAAAGAACUUUGAAAAGAGAGUUAAAAAGGGCCUGAAACUGGUAAGAGGGAACCGAACGGCCGAAGUGUUGUGUUCGUCUAU
rnacentral:rRNA from 1 species